rnacentral:rRNA from 1 species
UCAGUAACACGUAGUCAACAUGCCCAGGGGACGUGGAUAACCUCGGGAAACUGAGGAUAAACCGCGAUAAGUCACUACUUCUGGAAUGGGUAAUGACUCAAAUCUAUAUGGCCCCUGGAUUGGACUUGCGGCCGAUCAGGCUGUUGGUGAGGUAAUGGCCCACCAAACCUGUAACCGGUACGGGCUCUGAGAGGAGGAGCCCGGUAGAUGGGCACUGAGAUCAAGGGCCCAGGCCCUAUGGGGCGCAGCAGGCGCGAAACCUCUGCAAUAGGCGAAAGCUUGACAGGGUUACUCUGAGUGAUUUCCGUUAAGGAGAUCUUUUGGCACCUCCUAAUAAAUGGUGCAGAAUAAGGGUGGGCUCAUAGUCUGGUGCCAGCC